rnacentral:tRNA from 1 species
CCUGGUGGCUUAGACGGUGAAGAAUCUGCCUGCAGUGCAGGAGACCAGGGUUCGAUCCCUGGGUCAGGA